UCCCUGGUGGCUGAGAGGGUAAAGCGUCUGCCUGCAAUGCGGGAGAUUCAGGUUUGAUCCCUGGGUUGGGAA
rnacentral:tRNA from 1 species